AAAAAUUGACAUGUCUUUCUGUUCAUUUCUGAUCAGGAUAGCUGCUAAAUUAAAGAAGUGAAUUUUUUAAAUUGUCAAACAGCAGCCUAUAAACAUUAUUUAUGAGAUAGAUAAUAUUAAAAAUAGUUCAGAGAUAAGCACUUAAUAUACUUUUGGACUAAAUUGCAAUUUUUAGAGUAUCCUAAUACAGUUAUCUAUUUGUUCAAAAAAAAAAAAUAACAAAAAAUUAUAAAUAAAAAUUUACAUCAUCGGAGAUUUGAACUCGUUACCUUUGCCUCGAAAAGCCAUUGCUCUACGAAACUGCCACAAGGCACAAGUAUAAAGAGGAUAUACAGGUUAUUUAUAAAAAAAACAACUCAUUUUAAAUCAAUAUUUCUUACUGAAAGAGAUAUGUAAAAUUUUUUAUUUAGUAUUUUACAAAUUCUGUUUCAAAAUGUUGUAUUUUAUAUGAAUUAUUAAAUUGUUUAUGUUUAAUAACAUUAUUAGUACAAAGAAAGCAUUUUUAAUGGUGAAGCAAUAUUUUACCUUUAAAAGACCAAAUCUAGUCAUA